rnacentral:tRNA from 1 species
AUGUUGAUGGUUCAGUGGUAGAACUCUCCUGCCUUCCACGCAGGAGACCCAGGUUCGAUUCCUGGCCAAUGCA